rnacentral:rRNA from 1 species
AACGAACGCUGGCGGCAUGCCUAACACAUGCAAGUCGAACGCGUGUAGCAAUACACGAGUGGCGGACGGGUGAGUAACGCGUGGGAACCUGCCCAGUGGUAGGGAAUAACUGCGGGAAACUGCAGCUAAUACCCUAUACGCCCUUUGGGGGAAAGAUUCAUCGCCAUUGGAGGGGCCCGCGUCGGAUUAGCUAGUUGGCGGGGUAAUGGCCCACCAAGGCAACGAUCCGUAGCCGGUCNGAGAGGAUGAUCAGCCACACUGGGACUGAGAUACGGCCCAGACUCCUACGGGAGGCAGCAGUGGGGAAUAUUGGACAAUGGGGGAAACCCUGAUCCAGCAAUGCCGCGUGAGUGAAGAAGGCC